rfam:Ophiophagus hannah scaffold3847.1, whole genome shotgun sequence.
UAAGCUGAAUGCAUUGUGAUUUCCAGUAAUUGAGACAGUGAUUCUGAAAGCUGUCCACAUUAAUGAAAAGAGCAAUGUAGUCAGCUUA